UACGUAGGGUGCAAGCGUUGUCCGGAUUUAUUGGGCGUAAAGAGCUCGUAGGCGGUCUGUCGCGUCGGAUGUGAAAACCCAGGGCUCAACCCUGGGCCUGCAUUCGAUACGGGCAGACUAGAGUGUGGCAGGGGAGACUGGAAUUCCUGGUGUAGCGGUGAAAUGCGCAGAUAUCAGGAAGAACACCCGUGGCUAAGGCGGCUCUCUAGUACGGUACUGACGCUGAGACGCGAAAGCGUGGGGAGCGAACAGG
rnacentral:rRNA from 1 species